rnacentral:lncRNA from 1 species
CUCUUGCCUGCUGCCACGUAAGAGGUGACUUUGCUGCUCCUCCGCCUUCCACCAUGAUUGUGAGGCCUCCCCAGCCAUGUGGAACUAUCUUUGCAUGUUCUGUCCAGCAAGUUCUCUCUCCAUGAAGACCAUACCACCUAAAGUGACCCCAUCUCAGUCUGUCUGUUGGUAGACCUCCUGCAAUCAACUGAAGGCCUGAAUAAAACAAAAGACUGGCCUCCUCCCAAGCAAGAGUGAAAAUUUGACAUAUCCCCAGACUGGACUGAGUGAGCUGCUUUAGGAAGCUGUAUGUUUUUGGAAUUUAAUUCAAAUUUAAAUGAGGUUUCCUGCAUGUUUGGACAUUAUACCUCAGAGCCGUGGGUGCCAGAGCCCUGUCCUAUGAAUGUGUCUCUUCUGAAAAUUGCUCUAGGGAUUGGUUUUACUGAUUGGACAAAAAAUAUUUUGAACCAAUUAUAACAAAAUAGCUCAUUUCUCUUUUAUAUACAUCAUGCAAUGUCUUCACAAUCAGAUUAUGAGAUCUCUAAUUACAGAAGAGGAUUUUUAUAUUUCCUACUAGCAAACAUUUGUCCACAAAAGUUAUGAAAAACAGCUGUUAUCUGGAAUGUGGCUUGAAAUAUAUCCUGUUACUCUAAAAUGGUAUUGAUAUGAUUUAUAGUUGUCCUAUUGCAGCGAUUUUAUAAGAACUCAAUCCACAGCUCUUCUAACAUGUCUUGACAGCUUUAUUGAGAUACAAUUUACACAUUAAAAAACUGCAUGCAUUUAAUAUGUACAAUUUGAAUAUUUUUGGCAUAUCUAUGCCCAUAGGAAUUUAUCAUCUACAACCAAGAAAAUCAACAUCUCCAUCAGUCCCCUAAAUUUUCUUCUGUCCCUAUGUAAUCCCUCUUCCUACCUGCCAUCACUAGGUGGUAUGGGCUAAAUUGUGCACUGCCCAUCCCCUCCCCUCCCAUUUUAUAUGUUGAAGUCCUAAUCCCUAGCACCUCAAAACAUGACUGUGUUUGGAAACAGGCCUUCAAAGAGGUGAUUAAGCUACAACAAGGCUGUUAGGAUGAACCCUAAUCUGAUCUGACUGGUGUUCCUAUAAGAAAAGAAAAUUAAGACACACAAAGAGAUACCAGGGUAUAUUUACACAUAGAGGAGACCGCGUGAGGUACAAAGAGAGAAGGCAGCCAUCUGCAAGCUAACAAAAGAAAUCUCAGAAUGAAAUCAACCCACCAACACCUGAUUUCAGACUUCUAGCUUCUGAAACUGAGAGAAAAUAUCUGUUGUUUAAACCAUCAGUCUGUGGUACUUUCUUAGAGCAGCCCUAGCAAACUAUCAUACCAGGCAACCACUGACUAGCCUUCUGUCACUAUAGAUUAGAUUGUAUUUUCUGGAAUUUUAUAUAAAUGUACUCUUUUGGUCUGGCUUGUUUCAUUCAGUAUAAGUUAUUUGAGAUCCAUCCAUGUUGGGUUGUAUCAAUAAUUCAUUCCUUUUUAUUAUUAAUAUUUUGUUGAAUGGAUAUACCACAGUUUAUUCAUCCAUUUAUUUGUUACUGGACAUUUAGGUUGUUUUCUGGUUGAACUGUUACAAAUCAAGCUUCUAUGGACAUUUAUUUACAAGUCUUUUAUGAAUAUGUGCUUUCUUUGAUCUUGGGUAAAUAUCCAAGGUUGGAAUGGCUGGGUCAUAUGAUAGGAGUAUGCUAACCUCUUUAAGAAACUGCUAAACUAUUUUCCAAAAAUUGUACCAUUUUACAUUCCCACCAGCAGUCUUUGAGAGCUCCAGUUGCUCCGUAUCUUUGCCUAAAACUAGUAUGGUCCAUCUUUUUUAAUGUAAUUGUUCUAAUAGGUAUAUAACAGUAUGCUAUUGUGCUUUUUAAAUUUGCAUUGUAUUAUGACAGUGGUAUUGAUGAUCAUCUUUUCAUUGCUUAUUUACCGAAGUACAUCUUUUUUGGUAAAGUGUUUACAUUUUUGCAUUCUUUUUUGAGUUGUUUUUUUAUUACUGAGUUUUGCAGUUUUUAAGUAUAUUCUGAACCCAAGUUCUUAAUCAAAUAAAUGACUUGAAAAUAUACUCAGUCUUUUUAUUCUCUCACUAGAGUCUUUUACAGAAUAGACAUUUUUCAUUUUAAUUAAGUCUAUUUAUCAAUUUAUUAUUUUAUGGAUCAUUUGGUAUUGCAUUUGGAAAAAUCUUUGCCUAACCGAAGGUCAAAAUUCUUCUCUUACAUUUUCUUCUAGAAUUUUUAAAGUUUUAAGAUUUGAAUUUAGGUUUCUAAUCCAUUUUGAAUUGGCGUUUUUGUACUACAUUUUUUUUCCUUCACCUCUAUAUGUAGAAUCAAUUAAGGUAAUAAUAGUUUCUAUCUGAAAUGUCCUGCUAACACACUUACCUAUUUCAAUACUCAUUCUACCUUCCCGUCUCCCUGCAUUUUGUUUUUUUUUUUUACAUCCUUUCACCCAGGCUUUAGCUCCCAUCUCCUUCUAAGUCCUCACGCCCUUGCUGUGUCUAUGAUACUAAUGUGAUUCAGACCAUUUCUCUCCCAGUUUCUUUCCUUCAUAUAUAUGCAAUUUUAAGUCUUUCUUAUUUAAAAUAAUAAUAAUAAUAAUAAUAAUGCUUUUUGAAGCUGCAUAGCUUUCUAACUACAUAACAUUAACUUGCUUUGUUCUUUUCCUAUAAAACUAUUCUCUUGAAAGAAUUAUAUAUUCUCUCAUUUCUCUCUCUUCCAACCAACACUGCCAGGUUUCUGGCCCAGUCAUCGCACUGACACUAUUCUUACCAUCAACACUUGUGAUUUCCCUUUGCCACUUAUACAGAUCCCAUUUCAGCAUUCAUCACACAGGUCUCCCUGGGAGGCAUUUACACUGUGGAUCUCUGUAACUGGAAGGCAUUUCCAAAGCUUGUCUGAGUCUUCCACAUUGUCUCUCCUCUUUCUCUCUGUUACUUGAGACAUGUUUUCUCCAUAUUUUCUCUUCUCAUUCUAUACAUUCCACUGGUGACCACACAUAAAAUCAAGGAAUCAAAUGCCACCUUUGAAAAAUGAAUCUCCUAAGUAGAUUUCUGGUCCAGACUUAUUUACCCAGACCAUCAACUUUCUGUUGUAUAUUUCCAAUAGCAAUGUCAAGUGCAAUACGUGACAAACAUAAUGCCAUUCUUCUUUCACCUAAACACAGGGGUCUUUCAUACUUCCUGUGGGGGUAGACGGCACAUCAUUAACCCUGUCACCUAACCACUGUCCCCUCCAUUCCCAAUGAAAAAUAACCCAGAUAUUUCAGUUACAUCUCCUACAUAUGUCUCCAAUCUAUGCUUUCUCUUCAUAUCCACUGCUUCUCUCCUUAGUAUAUCUCAUCUAAAAUUCUGGAAUAGACUUCAGAUGGACCUGCAGAUUCUAAUUCUUACCCUCUCAACAUUCGACUUGUAUAUUGAUGCAUGAGUAAAGUUUCUGAAACACAAAUAUGUUUAGGGGAAUCCCAUGUAGAUCAUAUAUUUAGGCAACUCUAAUACAGAAAAAAUUGAACCCAUUCUCAUGUAACAUUCAGAUUGUUGUCUUUCUCUCACAUCUCAUCACUAACAACUGCUCUACACAAAAUCUGAGAUCUAGCAAUAGCUAGCUUCAUAUAGUUUCCUGAGCAUGGAAUAUUGAUACAACUUCCAGGCCUCAGAUGAGUGGACAAAAUUAAACUCACAAGGCAGUAAUGGCAUUCAAUCCCUGAAAAUUUCGCUGCUCUUUCUAAAAAGGUAAAAUAUAUUCUGCCUAUUAUAAAGUAAAUGCUGACCUUCCUAUUUUGUUUCUUUUCCUUUACGCUAAUGGAAAAUAACUUUAUGAUUUAAAAUAUAAUUUAUUGUACUUAUAAUAAUUUGUUUUGACUUGAUGGUUAAUGCUUGGGCAUAACUUAAAAUUAGAAUAAAAUGUAUAAAUGUAAAAGAAUCAUUUAUGUACUAUAAAUCAUUGAUAUGAUAUUCUCAAAGUACUUUGUGAAAAGCACAUUAAGAAGUAUGGAUCCUAAUGCAUAGGUAAGAAAACACAGAGAUAGGUUAAAGAGCUAAAAUAUCAUAAAUCCCAACCUGUCUUACUUCCCAUUAUUUUUAUCUGCCUGAUAUUAAAGAUCCUUCUUAUCAUAAAAUUAUCUGCAAGGAAAUGAAACAUUGAGUUCAGUACUGAUGAGUCUUGAAAAAAAGAAACAGAAUAAAAAUUCACACACUAUCUUUUCCAUUUCACUUAGUGUCCUGAAGCCAAACAGGAGUAUUCCCUAGAAUUACUUGUAAAAACAUUAGAACAGGGUGCAAACCUGGAUUCUACUGCUUGCUAGUUGUGUGACUUUAGGCAGAUCAUUCACCUCUGACUAUAAACUCACUUAAGAAGGGCCACAGUAAGAGCUAGUCCUCUUUAGUAAAAGAAUUUAAUGAAAUAUAUGUGUGAAUCAGAAUAGGCUGGGCUAUGGAUUAAAGCUGUAAGUUUUAUUUCCCUCUCAUGCUCCAGAUCUGUCUUGGCUGGGCAGCUGAGGUUUCAGCUUCAUAUUACCUUCUCUUCAUGACACAGCCUCACAUACCAUCCACAUCUACAAUGCUGCCACUCUGCCAAGAAGGAAAUGAGAACAUGGUGUGUUGUAUGUUGACUUUUAAAGCUUCCACAUAGAAGUAACACAUGUCACUUCUGCUCAUAUUUCAUUGAUCAUAUUUCAGGAGGAAGGAGAAUUAUAUUCCUACCAUGUGCUCCAGGAUAUAUCCAGAAACAUUUAUCUGUAUCAAUGUUUAUAUUAAUAUUUCAUUUUGGCACACUCAACGGUAGUGAAUGGAUAAUAAUAGCUCACUGUACUGAGGGCUUACUCUGUUCAGGGCACUUUGGUAAGGGCUUUGCUUCCAUGAUUUGAUUUAAUUUAAUUCUCAUAUUGGCCCAUAAGGCAAGUGACUUGAUCUGCCAGACAUUAUUUGUCCUUCUAAUAUUCAUUUCUCUGUUUGUUUGCUUUUUUUUAUGACUAACAGAACUGAGAUUUCAUUUGAGAUGACCGUGUUUAAACCUCACAUUGUUCUUAAAGCUGUAGAGAAGGAGGUGAAAAACUUCUGGCCAAACUAUGGUAUGUGGAAUUCCACAAAGAGAGCACCCCUUCUUAAAAGAAAAGAUAAAUGAGGCAGAAGGCAGAAAUAAUAUUAAGAGAUAACAAAGCCAUUUAGAGACAAUAAGGUAAAAACCAUGGAGGUGGGAAGGUAGUCGUGGUAACACUGACCAUGACAUCAGCAUAUGGCUGAUCAGAUACCAGCAGUCUGUUGCCUCUCACCUUCCUGUCCUGAGAGCUAAAUAAGCUUGCUCUUUUUGAGCUGAAUUUUAAAGGGUGUUCUCUUAUUUUAAUGUACAUCUUUCUUACCAGAUAUAAUUUAUAUAUGCAUGAGUUAAUAACAAACCAAAAUAAGUCAUACACAUGUUAGAUAUACUGACCAACAUAACAAGAUCAAUUAAUGCCAGAGCUUUAGAACUUGGAUUUAUAAUGGCCUGACUCUAAAAUUUUGGUGAUUAACAAAGGACUAUAAAAUUUCCUGAAUAUUCAAUCAAUUCUAAACAGUUCAGAGUCAAAUCCUAGACACUUGAUAAUUCAAAACGUGAUAAUUGUCAUUAAUAUAAUUUUGGUAUCACAAAGGAACUCAGCAAUUCUUGAUGUUUAUAAACAGAGUUUGUAAAAAAACAAUGCUUCAGUUCAGUGGUAUCAAAGUUUUAUAAUUAAUGUAAGUUGGCAGUGUGAUUUUAAUGCUUCGAUAUAUUUUUCAAUGAAAGACUAAUGAUAUGAGUGAAUAUAGGGUAACCAAUACCUUCAUUACACCUCAGUUCUUUCACAUAUGAAUCGGAGUGGUUGAUUAGGUAAUACUCAUUACUUUCUAGUCUGUGUAAUCUAUGAUUUUACUGUGGUGAUGAAAGCAGGUGCGUUUUAGAAAUCUAUCCAUUCUUUUCAUAGUAGCCAUAUAGAGCAACUGGUACCUACUUGUUUUAAUAUCUAUCUUCUCUAGGGCUGAAAAUCUCAUGAGGGUAUGGCCAUGCCUGUCUUGAUUACUCUAUGCUUCUCGAAUUUAACAGAGGAUCUGCUCAAAAUAUAUUAAUUGGUGAGAAGAAUGUUAAAUAUCAUUCUUCUUGGAAAAAGGGGCAGAAAACUUAAGAAAAAAAGCAUCACUUUGAAUUCAGCAGAGCAACUUGUAUUCAUUCUUUACUUUGUAACAGUGUGAACAUUACAAGAGACAAAACUAAGUUUAAAGAUAUAAAAAUAGUUUCUCUCUACUUAUAGAUUUUUUUAAAUUAUUGAUCUUGUGUUAUUGUGUGUUCCUAGUCUCAGAAAGUAAUGAAAAUAAUAGUAAAUAUUAACCUUCAGAAAUUGAUUUUUUUCUGGAUUGAGAGUAGAUCAACCUAUUUGAUAACAUUGUGUUGAUGAUAAAUAGCUUCUAAAAGUUGAGUGGUUUAGCAAAAUAAAAGUUAUUGAACAUUUGCUCAUGUCACAAUCUUGUAUGUGUCUUAUUCAGUAGAAUGGACUUCCUCCCUGAAGUAAUCCUGGGAUCUAGGUUCCUUCCAUAUCUGGUUGUGCUAUCUCCUUGGCCUCAUCUCCAUCUGUAACUAUGUGGCACAGAAAAAGUAUGAGGGAGAUUGUGUCACAGUACUUUAUGGUCCAAACAGGUAAAGUUUCAUAUUACUAGCACAAAGACUCACUAGUAAGAACUCACAUAUAUGGCCUCAUCUAACAGCAAGGUAGACUGGGAAAUGUAGACUUACUGUUAAUCCAAGGGAGGGGAUAAAAAUUUUCAGUAGAACUAUUGGUUUUUGCUACUCUUGAAUUAAUAAUUCUGUAAUUUGCAAUUCUAUGGGGAAUAAUAUAGACCACACAUCUAUCCUUAUAUAUUUACUCUGAUCUUUUCGACUGCCCCUCAACCAUCACUAAGCAUUGGCUGUUUUAUUUUGAUGACGUUAAGGUUUGUAAAAAUAAAUUGAACCCAUUUUGGAAAUUUCACUGUGGAAGCUGCCAGUGACAUUAUUUAAGCUCCUUGCAUCACAUAUUCUUACUUCCUUAAAAAUCUCAUCCGUGGAAGAUUCUGUGAUGCUAAUUCAAUCUCAGCCUCUGUACUAAUUCACAUUAUUUCCAUUAGAAGUUCCAUUCAUAACAGAAACUGGAUAAGCAUAUAAAACACAGAAUUGGAAAGACAUUUAAAUUAAAUGUAAUGAGUCAGUGGCUUCUGUAUUCCCUUUAUUAUAUACAAAUGCCAAAUGAAACUUUCAGUAAUGCCUAAUGGCCAUUGUUGGGUUUCAUGAUCAUUUCACGUUUGCUCAAAAGUCAAUUGAAAUAAUUGCCUUGGUUAAAAUAAUUGAAAGUCAUCUGUAAAGUCAAACUGAUUUACUGUGUGUGUAUUUUCUCUCUACAAACAAGUACCUGCAAAUAAUUUUCAAAUA